rnacentral:rRNA from 1 species
UACGUAGGGGGGCAAGCGUUUGUCCGGAUUUAUUGGGCGUAAAGAGCGUGUAGGCGGCUAGAUAGGUCCGUUGUGAAAACUCGAGGCUCAACCUCGAGACGUCGAUGGAAACCAUCUGGCUAGAGUCCGGAAGAGGAGAGUGGAAUUCCUGGUGUAGCGGUGAAAUGCGCAGAUAUCAGGAAGAACACCCGUGGCGAAGGCGGCUCUCUGGUACGUGACUGACGCUGAGACGCGAAAGCGUGGGGGAGCAAACAGG